rnacentral:rRNA from 1 species
UACGUAGGAGACGAGCGUUGUCCGGAGUUACUGGGCGUAAAGGGUGCGCAGGCGGCCCUGCGCGUCGCGAGUGAAAUCUCCCGGCUCAACUGGGAGGGUGCGCCGAAUACUGAGAGGCUAGAGUGUGGGAGAGGAAAGUGGAAUUCCUGGUGUAGCGGUGAAAUGCGUAGAUAUCAGGAGGAACACCGGUGGUGUAAACGGCUUUCUGGACCAUAACUGACGCUGAGGCACGAAAGCGUGGGUAGCAAACAGG